rnacentral:rRNA from 1 species
GCGCGUAGGUGGUUUGUUAAGUUGGAUGUGAAAGCCCCGGCCUCAACCUGGGAACUGCAUUCAAAACUGUCAAGCUAGAGUACGGUAGAGGGUGGUGGAAUUUCCUGUGUAGCGGUGAAAUGCGUAGAUAUAGGAAGGAACACCAGUGGCGAAGGCGACCUCCUGGACUGAUACUGACUCUGAGGUGCGAAAGCCUGGGGAGCAGACACGAUUA